rnacentral:rRNA from 1 species
UUGUAGGCUGAAACUCGCCUGCAUGAAGUCGGAAUUGCUAGUAAUCGCGGAUCAGCAUGCCGCGGUGAAUACGUUCCCGGGCCUUGUACACACCGCCCGUCACACCAUGAGAGCCGGUAACACCCGAAGUCAAUAGCCUAACCGCAAGGAGGGCAUUGCCGAAGGUGGGAUUGGUAAUUGGGGUGAAGUCGUAACAAGGUAAC